GACGAACGCUGGCGGCGUGCCUAAUACAUGCAAGUUGAGCGAUGAAGCUUGGUGCUUGCACCAAUUUGAAGAGCAGCGCACGGGUGAGUAACGCGUGGGGAAUCUGCCUUUGAGCGGGGGACAACAUUUGGAAACGAAUGCUAAUACCGCAUAACAACUUUAAACAUAAGUUUUAAGUUUGAAAGAUGCAAUUGCAUCACUCAAAGAUGAUCCCGCGUUGUAUUAGCUAGUUGGUGAGGUAAAGGCUCACCAAGGCGAUGAUACAUAGCCGACCUGAGAGGGUGAUCGGCCACAUUGGGACUGAGACACGGCCCAAACUCCUACAGGAGGCAGCAGUAGGGAAUCUUCGGCAAUGGACGAAAGUCUGACCGAGCAACGCCGCGUGAGUGAAGAAGGUUUUCGGAUCGUAAAACUCUGUUGGUAGAGAAGAACGUUGGUGAGAGUGGAAAGCUCAUCAAGUGACGGUAACUACCCAGAAAGGGACGGCUAACUACGUG
rnacentral:rRNA from 1 species